rnacentral:tRNA from 1 species
AGGGUUAUAGUUAAACAUAACAUUUGAUUUGCAAUCAAAAAGUAUUGACUUUCAAUUUUCCUUA